AGCGAACGCUGGCGGCAGGCCUAACACAUGCAAGUCGAACGAACCCUUCGGGGUUAGUGGCGGACGGGUGAGUAACACGUGGGAACGUGCCCUUUGGUACGGAAUAACUCAGGGAAACUUGAGCUAAUACCGUAUGUGCCCUUCGGGGGAAAGAUUUAUCGCCAUUGGAGCGGCCCGCGUCUGAUUAGCUAGUUGGUGAGGUAAAGGCUCACCAAGGCGACGAUCAGUAGCUGGUCUGAGAGGAUGAUCAGCCACAUUGGGACUGAGACACGGCCCAAACUCCUACGGGAGGCAGCAGUGGGGAAUCUUGCGCAAUGGGCGAAAGCCUGACGCAGCCAUGCCGCGUGAAUGAUGAAGGUCUUAGGAUUGUAAAAUCCUUUCACCGGUGAAGAUAAUGACUGUAGCCGGAGAAGAAGCCCCGGCUAACUUCGUGCCAGCCGCCGCUGUAACAC
rnacentral:rRNA from 1 species